rnacentral:siRNA from 1 species
CGAGUCUUUGAACGCAAGUUGCG